CGGCGGACGGGUGAGUAACACGUGGAUAACCUACCUAUAAGACUGGGAUAACUUCGGGAAACCGGAGCUAAUACCGGAUAAUAUUUUGAACCGCAUGGUUCAAAAGUGAAAGACGGUCUUGCUGUCACUUAUAGAUGGAUCCGCGCUGCAUUAGCUAGUUGGUAAGGUAACGGCUUACCAAGGCAACGAUGCAUAGCCGACCUGAGAGGGUGAUCGGCCACACUGGAGCUGAGACACGGUCCAG
rnacentral:rRNA from 1 species